rnacentral:rRNA from 1 species
AUUGAACGCUGGCGGCGUGCUUAACACAUGCAAGUCGUGCGGUAACAGGCGUAGCAAUACGUGCUGACGAGCGGCGAACGGGUGCGUAAUACAUGGGAAUCUGCCCUUUAGUGGGGAAUAACCCGGCGAAAGCCGGGCUAAUGCCGCAUAAGAUCUUCGGAUGAAAGCGGGGGAUCGUAAGACCUCGCGCUGAUGGAUGAGCCCAUGUCGGAUUAGCAGUUGGUGAGGUAACGGCUCACCAAGGCGACGAUCCGUAGCUGGUCUGAGAGGACGGCCAGCCACACUGGGACUGAGACACGGCCCAGACUCCUACGGGAGGCAGCAGUGGGGAAUAUUGGACAAUGGGGAAACCCUGAUCCAGCGACGCCGCGUGUGUGAAGAAGGCCUGCGGGUUGUAAAGC